UAAGGAAUAUUGGACAAUGGAGGCAACUCUGAUCCAGCCAUGCCGCGUGAAGGAAUAGGGCCCUAUGGGUUGUAAACUUCUUUUAGACGGGACAAAACCCCUUUACGUGUAAAGGGUUGAUGGUACUGUCAGAAUAAGCAUCGGCUAACUUCGUGCCAGCAGCCGCGGUAAUACGAAGGAUGCAAGCGUUAUCCGGAAUUAUUGGGUUUAAAGGGUGCGUAGGCGGACUAAUAAGUCAGUGGUGAAAGCCUGCAGCUUAACUGCAGAAUUGCCAUUGAUACUGUUAGUCUUGAGUACAGUUGAGGUAGGCGGAAUGUGUCAUGUAGCGGUGAAAUGCUUAGAUAUGACACAGAACACCGAUUGCGAAGGCAGCUUGCUAAGCUGUAACUGACGCUGAGGCACGAAAGCGUGGGGAGCAAACA
rnacentral:rRNA from 1 species